GAGGUUAAGCGACCAAGCGUACACGGUGGAUGCCCUGGCAGUCAGAGGCGAUGAAGGACGUGCUAAUCUGCGAAAAGCGCCGGUAAGGUGAUAUGAACCGUUAUAACCGGCGAUGUCCGAAUGGGGAAACCCAGUGUGACUCGUCACACUAUCAUUAACUGAAUCCAUAGGUUAAUGAGGCGAACCGGGGGAACUGAAACAUCUAAGUACCCCGAGGAAAAGAAAUCAACCGAGAUUCCCCCAGUAGCGGCGAGCGAACGGGGAGGAGCCCAGAGCCUGAAUCAGCAUGUGUGUUAGUGGAAGCGUCUGGA
rnacentral:rRNA from 1 species